rnacentral:lncRNA from 1 species
AAAAGAUUCAGAUAGAGGAUUUGACAAUGUUGGACAUACCAGAGAACACUGAGGAAAACUUCAUAAAAUCAGUACAACUGCUAUCUUAAAGUGGUGACCAAGGCCAUGUUCACUGCAGUUAUCGGGGUAGCUGUAAGACAGGCACAUGUAAAAGCAAAAGUUUGAGCUUAUUGUGUAAUUCCAGAUUUCAUGCUUACUUGUC